UACGUAGGGGGCAAGCGUUGUCCGGAAUCAUUGGGCGUAAAGCGCGUGUAGGCGGCCAGAAAAGUCCGCUGUGAAAACUCGAGGCUCAACUUCGAGCUGUCGGUGGAAACUUUCUGGCUAGAGUCCGGAAGAAGAGAAUGGAAUUCCUGGUGUAGCGGUGAAAUGCGCAGAUAUCAGGAAGAACACCCGUGGCGAAGGCGGUUCUCUGGGACGGUACUGACGCUGAGACGCGAAAGCGUGGGGAGCGAACAGG
rnacentral:rRNA from 1 species